rnacentral:snoRNA from 1 species
GCUGCUGUGAUGACUCUUGGUCUUUAGUCGGAUACCCCUUCACUCCCUUCAUGAGUGAGACGUCCGCUCUGAGCAUGC